AGUGAACGCUGGCGGUAGGCCUAACACAUGCAAGUCGAACGGCAGCACAGUAAGAGCUUGCUCUUACGGGUGGCGAGUGGCGGACGGGUGAGGAAUACAUCGGAAUCUACUUUUUCGUGGGGGAUAACGUAGGGAAACUUACUCUAAUACCGCAUACGACCUACGGGUGAAAGCAGGGGAUCUUCGGACCUUGCGCGAUUGAAUGAGCCGAUGUCGGAUUAGCUAGUUGGCGGGGUAAAGGCCCACCAAGGCGACGAUCCGUAGCUGGUCUGAGAGGAUGAUCAGCCACAGUGAAACUGAGACACGGUACAGACUCCUACGGGAGGCAGCAGUGGGAAAUAUUGGAAAAUGGGCGCAAGCCUGAUCCAGCCAUACCGCGUGGGUGAAGAAGGCCUUCGGGUUGUAAAGCCCUUUUGUUGGGAAAGAAAAGCAGCAGGUUAAUACCCCGCUGUUCUGACGGUACCCAAAGAAUAAGCACCGGCUAACUUCGU
rnacentral:rRNA from 1 species